rnacentral:rRNA from 1 species
CACGUAGGGGGCGAGCGUUGUCCGGAUUUAUUGGGCGUAAAGAGCUCGUAGGCGGCUCGGUAAGUCAGGUGUGAAACCUCCAGGCUCAACCUGGAGACGCCACCUGAUACUGCCGUGGCUAGAGUCCGGUAGAGGAGCGUAGAAUUCCUGGUGUAGCGGUGAAAUGCGCAGAUAGUCAGGAGGAACACCGGUGGCGAAGGCGGGAUCCUGGGCCAGUACUGACGCUGAGGAGCGAAAGCGUGGGGAGCAAACAG